rnacentral:rRNA from 1 species
UAUCUAAUCCGUAAACGAUGGAUACUCGGUGCUGCCGGACUUGUCUGGCGGUGCCCAAGCUAACGCAUUAAGUAUCCCACCUGGGGAGUACGCUCGCAAGAGUGAAACUCAAAGGAAGUUGACGGGGCCCGCACAAGCGGUGGAGCAUGUGGCUUAAUUCGAUGCAACGCGAGGAACCUUACCUGGGCUCGAACGCUAUCGGACAUCCCCUGAAACGGGGGCUUCCUUCGGGUCGAUAGUGAGGUGCUGCAUGGCUGUCGUCAGUUCGUGUCGUGAGAUGUUGGGUUAAGUCCCGCAACGAACGCAACCCCUAUCGUUAGUUACCAGCGAGUAAUGUCGGGAACUCUAGCGAGACUGCCUGCGCAAGCAGUGAGGAAGGUGGGGAUGACGUCAAGUCAUCAUGGCCCUUACGCCCAGGGCUGCACACGUGCUACAAUGGACGGUACAACAGGCCUGCCACUCCGCGAGGAGGAGCUAAUCCCAAAAGCCGUUCACAGUUCGG